GUAUGAAGAAAGGAUAAUAGCACAUAUAUGGACCCUUUAUACAUAUACUGUCUCAUUUAAUUUAUAUAACAAUGCUGUGAAGUAGGAAUUGCAUUUGGUUACUGGUAAAGAGACGGGAAAAAUAGCGGCCGAAACAAGAAAGGGGUUUAUUUUUUUCACAUUAAAAUCUCCAGAGAUGGUCAAUCCUGGUCCAGCUCCAUGGCUAUCAGAGACCCAGGCUUCUUUCACCUCUCUCUUCACCAGACACAGUGAAGGGCCUCUAGUCUCUUGAUAGCCUCAUGGUAGCAAGAUGGCUAUUUUAGCUCCCACCAUCACAUCCAUGUUCCAGGUGGGAGGAGGAAGAAAGGAAGCUGAAAUGCAGAGGGGCACACCUCCUAACUCUCUUUAAAGGAGAUUCUAGGUUCUCUGUAAAGAGAUUUCCAAAAAACCCACUUCAGUGAUUUCUGAACCAUGAUCUCACCCCAUCUGCAAGGAACGAUGGGAAAGGCACUUCAGUUGAUCAUAUUCUGCCCGCAUGGACAGAGUCUGUGCUGGGAAGGAGGGCAGGGAGGCGGUACCUCCUAUCAGCCAGGCUGCGGGAAGCGAGCCCCCAAGGUGCCGAGUGGCCUCCCCGAGCCACACGCCGGGUCCCGAGCGCCGCUCCGUCCGCCCUCUGCGCAGGCCCGCGCCGGCCCUUCGAGGCGUGCGGCCCCCGAGGCUGCCUCAGGCCUUCCCGCGGACGUGCUGAGCUGUCCUCCUCGCGGGGUGGACCCUUUCCGGCUGCCGGGAGCUGCUGCGUCAGUGGCGGGGGAACCCGACCGAGCGAGCUCCCACCUGUGCGCCUGGGCGGCCCGUGCGGUGGGGCGUGGGAGGCGCGCUUCCUGGGCGUCCUGGGAGCCGAGCUUCUGCGCAGACGCGGCGUCUGCUGUCCCACGUGCUUCCUUUCAGCUCUGCUGACCUGGCCCCUCCCUUCAGCCCCUCCCGCUUAACAUUUAGCCAUUUGUCUUUCUUUCCCCGACAUCCACCUGUCUGCCUCUCCCGGAUCUGACGCCCAGUUACGAACUCCGUUCUCCAGAGAGAUUGUGAGCAAAGACACGUGCAGGGGACGUGUUACUCAGCCUCAAUCCUCAAGUGCAAACUAUUUUUUUUAACAUUUACUCUGCACAGAUCACUGUGCCAGGAACUACCGGGUUGAUUACGAAACAUAAGGUAGAGUCACGCUUGACCUCAAGGAGUAAACAACCUCAUCGCGGAAAUGGAAGGCGCACUAAGCGACAGGUAAUCGUGCAAGGAAGUGUGGAAGCGCCGUGAGAAGAGAGAGCACCGUGAGCGAAAGUGUUGGGAGGAAAGACAAGCCGCUUUUGACUGAGGAGGUCGGGGACAGCGUCACGAGACGAGAGAGAAUGGAUUUGAUCCCUGUUGAAAUUAGGAAAGGGGAAAGGAGGUAGAGAAUGAUAUGAGCAGAGCCCAAGACUACAAAAGAAAAGACGUUCCCAACUCAGUUUGUGGAGACUCUGAAGCUUCACUCAGAAGAAUCCUGCUCAUCGAUUCAUCCCUCCUUCAGAAUCUUUUACCCGGGACGCUUACAUCCGGCUAAAUCAGGACAUUCUGAACCGAUGUUAUACUAAAUGCCUUGAACUGCUUUGCAAUCAAUGCCUUGGAACGGAGUGGGGAUGAGGGAAAGGGAAGAGAAGGAGGGUAAGAGAUAGAAUAAAACUGGAAGAUGAGUAAAUUUUUUUAACCUUGGAAUCAAGAAGUUCAUUAUGAAUAUGACAAACACAGCUGUAACGGACCUAGGCAGUGACUCAGCCUGCCAUCCUGGCCGUCUUUUAACUUUGGCAGCAUGAAUUGAAACUGAAAGACUUCUGCUGCUCUGGCUGAGGAUUUUCAUUUAGCCUCACCACCAAGAAAAAUCAGCCUGGAGCAAUGAGUGUGCUGAUUUUGUUAAUUCUCUCAAAUAUGUCGGUUGUUUGAAUCACUACUGAUUAAAUAUUCUUGACACUUUUCCUUUCUCAGUGUGCCAUGACUCAUCAGGUGAUCACAGUGGAAGGCAAAGGCUAAAUCUGUUUCUUUAAACUGUUUACUGAACGUGACCAAUGGAAGAAACCGCUCCAGCUAAGAUGAUGAGUGGCACGUUGGUAGGCUGCAUGUCUAUUACCUAUCUGUUCAUAGUCUUCAAGAAACGAAAAUAUUAGCUAUAAGGAAACAUCACCAGGAGCUGAGUCAGACCAGAGACGUGAAGUACGGCAAGGCUGGGCUUCUGCUGCCAAACAAGCAUUUCCCAGGUGAGGCAGAUGGCUCUGCUGCUGCUGAAGGUCAUUUCGAGGCAGAAAUUUUGGCUGUGAUCAUGGAUUUUCUCUUUGCCUUAUCAGGAGUUGUGUUCGAAUUCAUUCCAAUAUUUGAUUUUCUAUUUCCCUAACAGUUUGAAUUUUAAGAUAGUAAAAUGACUUGCCACAAAGAAACUGGGCCUUUCUAGAAUGUUACCUGAAAGUUCACAGAUACUGUGCUACUUUUAGCGUAACAAAAGUUAGAUUUUCUGUUCUGUCUAUGACAACAUCAGGAAAAGGAGGACCUACCACCACAAAUCACUCACUCCCACCCCCCUCGUCACCCAUCGGGCUCUGUCAGCUGUAAUCAGGGAGGGCAAUCACCUUAUUCAGUGUAGCAGGAGUACUGCUCCAGAAGUUAGGAGAACACAUUUGCUCUUCUUAGCUCUGCCUACUCAUUGUGUGACCUUGGGUAAGUCGUUUAAAUUCUCUGAUCUGUAAUUUCUCAUCCAUGUAGACAUUAGACAAGAAUAAGAUCUUGGAUUUUAUAUUUCACUCCAUGACUUCCUCCAUCCCAACAAGAAUUAUCUUCCUGGAAUGUGACUAGGAUUUUAUAUGUGUACCUCACUCAAUGUAAUCUGGGAUAUUAGCUUAAUUUAAUGAUCACUUGGAAAAUAAUCUGAAGAAAAGCUCAGAUAACAAAUCAUAUAUUUUUCUUCUGCCAAGAAAGAUCCUGUUUUAGGGGUUUGGUUUUGCUGACUUCAGAGAUCAUUUUUAAAAACAUCUUUAGGUAGAGUGAUAUAUUAGUCUAUGCACAGAACUGCUGUCUCAGGGGUGGGGGGUGGGGAAGGUUUAAGGGCUAUGAGCCUCGUUCUGAGGGCUCCCUGACUCCUCUCUGGGAUUCCGGCCAGACACCUCACUUCUUUGUAUCUGAAUAUCUUUAUUUCUAUCUGGGAGUUAGACAGUUAUUGCAGCUUGCCUCAGGAAACUGUGGCAGAUACAAAUCAAAAUCAUUUGGGAACACAAUGCCCAUGGGACAACAUCAGAAGAAUAUUAAAAUUUUAACAGUAAGUAAAAAACUAAAAGUUGCUUCCUUCAGGCUUUGUUAUUGACAGUGUAAGUGCCUCAUGAGUUGGAGACUCUAACAUCAUCUGUAGGUUGCCAUGGCAACAGCUACUGUUACCAGCCUACCUGGAAGGAUCUGAAUGUAAGGUAAUAAUUCAGAAGUCUCUCCUGGCGGUGACUCACGAAGUGCCAGGCAUCUUCCUCCUCCGGUCUGUGUACUUGCCCAAUUUCUCACUUGCCGCUGCAUCAAGAGCCAUUUUGUGCUCUGCGUUUCUCUUCUGCGGGACUACAUGGUUCCAUCGGCCAUCGGUCUGGGAUAAUGCUCCUUCUCUUCCUUGGCAGAUUUAGAAGGCACGUGAACUGCAGGGGAAAGCGGGGUGGAGUCACGGGGAGAAUUAGAAGGAGGAAGAUCUCUUGUUCUUAAUUAGGAGUAGAUAAUGUGGGUCUAUGGAAUUACUCUCACGUAACUCAGUAAUGCCUAUUAGAGUGACUUAGCUAAAGUUCACUCUUCUUAUUUUAUGGCAGAGAAAGAAAUAUUGAUUGGGGUUAAGUAAGUGGUUACAAGUUUAGCCAGUUUUGUUUUCAUGUAUCCGCUGUAUAUCGUUUCUUUUUAUUUUCUCUUUUUAAUAAAUUCUGGUGACUUCCUGGUUAGGGUGGUGAAUGGAAUCAAUGCUAAAACUCCCAUCUUUGGCUCAAAUAUAUAAAUUAUAGGUAAAAUAUACUUUAUAAAUUGAAAAGCAUAUGGCCACACUCAAAAACAUGAAGGGGAAAUAUAUGAUCCAGAAACCAGGAUAUUACUAUAAAAUUGGCAAAACAAACAAAAUCAAACAGAAACAUAUAGCUGCAAGCAGUUGAAGCCAUGGGCCUGGCACAGUCUAUCAGGAGCUCCAAAGGGAGGACGGAAAAAAUGGGCGCAAAGCAGUAGUACAAGACAUAGUGCCUGGAAUUUCUCAGAACCGAAAAGAGAUGAAAGUCUUCAGACGGAUGAAAUCCAACAGGGUAAAUAGACUUUUUCCUUCUUCUUCUCAGCAAAGCCCCCCAGUACAUAGUUGCAUAUUUUGGUUGUAGGUCCUUCUAGUUGUGCUGUGUGGGAUGCUGCCUCAGCAUGGCCUGAUGAGUGAUGCCAUGUCUGCGCCCAGGAUCCAAACCAGCGAAACCCUGGGCCACCGAAGCGGAGCAUGCAAACUUAACCACUUGGUCACAGGGCAGCCCGUGGGUAAAUACUUUAAACAUUCACAUUGAGACGCGUUAUAGUGAAAUUGCAGAAUAUUAAGGUAAAGAGAAAAUCCUACAAAACAAAAAUAAAAAUUAGAUUAACAGUAGACUUUUCUCAGUAAAAAUAAAUGCCUAAGAAAAUAGAUUGGUAUCUAUAAGGUUUCUGAAAGAAAAAUAACUGUACUAUAUUGUACAGAAGGUCAAGCUAUAAUUUAUGACGGUAUUUUAAAGCAUACUCGCACCUCUAAAAAUAAAGACAAUCAUUAGAACUUUGAAAGUCUAUUUUUUCAACUAACUAAAUAAAUUUAUAGAAUUAGGUGAAAGUAGUGAUGUACAAGAACCAAAAGUGAGCAAAGAAUCAGGAAACCAUAACAGAAAAUGCAAAUGAAUGUUUUCUAUAAAUAAAUACAAAAUAAUAUUUUUAUGUUUAGUAACAUAAUGUAUCUAAAAUUUUAGGCAAAAAUUAUAUGGGAGUCGGGGAAAGUUUGAAGAAAAUUAAAGUGUGCUAAGAUUAUUGUCUUCAGAAGGAGGAGAGAGAUACUGUUAAGUUUGGACUUUGUUAAGAAAAUCUAAGUAUGUGAAUGAAUGUUAAAAAUUUUUUUAAAUUUUAAAGGUCAACAGUGAAAGACAGAAAGGAAGAAAGAAAUAGAAUACAUAAUUUCCAAUUGAGUAGAGGGGAAAAGGGGAACAAAAUCUCGAUCAGUUGAAGAGAAGACAGGAAAAGAAAGCAAGGAAAAAUAAGCAAAGAGAAAGUAUGAUACGUAAUACACAAUAAUAUGGCAGAACAAGAACAAAGGUAUCAGUAACCGCAAAAAUACGUAAAGUACCAAACUUGUCUAAAAGAUAGAGACUCUCAGAAUUGAAAAUAAAUCCAUCUGUGCACUGUUCCCAGAAUUACCCAGAAAUGGAUCAAAUGGAUAGGGGAAUAUAUAUUUUGAUAACAUCAACAUAAAGAAGCUGCUAUAGCAAUAUUCAAGCCAUCAAAAUAGAUUAGCUUGGUGAACAGCAUUGAAAGAGUCAAAGAAAAAAAUACUUAAUACUAGUAAAGAAACAAUUCCCCCAAACCACAAAAAUUACCUUCCCAAAUGUAUUCUCCUGCCCAGUCCUCCUGUGAUCUCAAACAUAGUUGUGUAGUUUAAUUUGUCAGUGCUUUUGUAUUCAAUUUUUAGGUAACAUUUAAAGAAUAAUAAUGCUUAGGGGUUUUUUUGUUUGUUUUUCUAUUUUGCUAAGGAAGAUUUGCACUGAGCUAACAUGCUUGCCAAUCUUCCUCUAUUUUUUCUUAGUAUGUGGGCGGCCAGCACAGCAUGGCUGCUAACAGAGCAGUAUAGGUCGGGGCCUGGGAACCAAACCCAGGCCACUGAAGCGGAGUGCACUGAACUUAACCACUAGGCCUCCGGGGCUGGCCCAACACUUAGUUUAUAACGAUGACAAUUAAAACAUAUAGCUCGUUUCUUAACACAAUGCCCAUACUUUAGUGAAAUUAAACAGAAAAUGUGUUACCUGAGAAAUCCUUCAUACUUUGAUCACGUUCUCUUUAGAGGUCGCAUUCCUGAUUCUCUCUUAUCCCAUUGGAUUAUGUAUGCUGUAAAUAAAUUUUAGGAAUGUUCUUCUCUCCUGCAUAAUUCUGAAACAUAAGUAUUUAAAUACUAUGUCAGUGCGUUUGUCCAAAAGUAGCUCUAUCUUUAUAAGUAGAUAUCUCCUGCUCUUUGUUCUGGUUAUCUCUUCCCCUCAGUGGGAGGCCAUUGGAGUCAACUUUAAUGAUGAUUUUGUUGAAAUAUUACAUUUUGUUUAUUAAUGCUUAUAUGUAAUUAACAAAUUUCUCAAUUCUUAUGUUUAAAAAUGUAAAUAAAACAUUCAAGGUAGCUCUCCCAGUAUUUAUCUUUUCCCGUUUAAUUAGACUACAGAAAAAAAUCAAGAUGAUAUAUCUUUAGAAAUAGAAGGAAACCCAAAAGUCAAGAUAAAUUAAACUGUUUAUAUCAUUGAAUAAUUUAAAAAGCAUACCUGAUGUAAGAAGACUAAUUGAUUGAAACGUCUUGUUAAUUAAUUUCUGUAAUAUUUGUCUCCUUUGAUCGAGAUUGCAUAGGAAUCCCAGCUGGGAAUGGAAAGAAAAAAAUGAACUAUCCCUUGCAGAACAUAUCUAUAGGAAGGGAUUAGUGAUUGCUGGGGCUCAGUGUAUGGUUUUGGAUCAAAUAUUGUUUUAUGACUAUUAUGGUUCUAGGUGGGUUACUGGGCCAGGAGAGUGGUUUCUCUUGAUUUCAUGCCCUCCUCUGUUAAUCAAGGCCUCCUGUCUCCUGACAUUAAUGUUGUGCAGCAAAAAUUUACUCUAUCGCUUAACACAAAGCAGAAGAAUGCUAAUUUACUGCCAUUCCCUGAACACCUCGUGUAAAGAAAACAUCCUUUUAACAACAAAUAUGCCUCCCCAGUGCCUAUUUCUUGUCAGCAGACACGGUUUAAUCUCUGAGAGGCAGAUGCACACAGCUUUUGGCUGAAAAUACAGAGAGAAAUUUUACAGCAAACACAUCAAGAGGGAAAUCGGGAACAGCUACAACACUCUGCUGCUCAGUUUCGGAAACCCUUCCGGAGGACGGGACAAAGCUGGCCUCCUGCCGCCUCCCCAGAUUCCUUCUUUGGAGCGUAAUCUCUUGAGCGAUUUUUCAUUAUUGUCAUUACUGCUUAGAUCAACACCAGGCAGAUUGAGUGGAAAUCCUUCCAAUCCAUUUUUAAUCUUUCAAACAAGCAAAUUAGUCGUGAAUUAUUUAUCAAGCACACCCAGGUGGGCUCUCACACGGUCACAUCAGCUUUCUGCAUUCCUGUAACCUAGAGUUUCUGAGCGUUGGAAAUACAGCUGUCACCCCUAUUUCUUUUCCUUUACCAAUUUUCAAUUCGUUUUCUAAAAAUACUUUGAUAUGCCGUCCGAGUAGUGAAAGAGGUUUGCUUCUCUAUUCAGAAGUGAUGUCCUGAAACCGCUGAGGAAAAUCAAAAAGCACCUGGGGCAACAGAUGUUUAGGGUUCACGGAGAAGUACAAAGAGGGAGUUGGGGAAGGAAAAACGGAAGGAAGAAAGAAAUUUUUUGCAAAAAGGAAGGUUAAGAUGAUAACACCUUUUGGGCAGGAAAGAGGAGUGUGGAGUGUGUAUUCUGCUGAUCCUACCGCGCCAGUCAGCAAACUUGUUUUGAGGAAAAAAGGCAACCAACGUGACCUGGAACUUUGUGAAGUCAACGUGGAUUCUCUCCUUCCCUUGCUGACCUGAGUCUUUAGUCAACCCAAAUAUCGCCACCUUGUUUUACAGUGCACAGGCCUGUAGACAACAUCUAGCCCCAUAUUACAUGUACUUCUAAUAUACAGGCACAUUUUCUGGCUACUUCACAGCCUGGAGGUUAUAAAGUCCUGGACAAAAUUGUAGAAUUAACUCAAGCAAAACUGAGACAUUCUUGCAAAAACCAAGCAAAGAAUACUCUACUAGCAAUGAGCGUAAUGUUACUUGUGUGGUUAGAAAUAUGAUGCUGCUAAGUAAAAGAUAACUUUUAAAAGAUGAAUGCAAAUUUAAAGUUUUUAGAAUGAGUUUAUGGUUUUAAAGAGUUGCAAAAGCUAACUCUCAUGAGCAUUUAUUAUAUACGACAAUUAAUUCUCAUAAAAAUCCAAAGAGUUAGAAGCUAGUAAUGUCCCCAUUAGUUGAUGAGGAAACCGGCGUAUAGAGAGAAUGACUAGCUUGUCCAAAGUUCCAUAGCUAACGAGUGGGCCGGGGAAAGUCUGAACACAGACAUUCUGCAUUCAGAGCCACCAUUUGAACUACUUGACGUCUGGCCUCCCUUCCACUCACUAUACACAAUAUUACUAAAAUUGUUAUUGUAAAGCACUGGGGUGACUCUUUACCAGAUAACAAAAAUGCCUCUACAGUGUCUUGUAUAAAAUUUACACAAAACACUGAAGCCAUUUGCAACUCUGAUGGACAUAACAAAACUGAUGACUGCGCGGUUCUUACAGCUUUCCUUUCUGCUCUGUGCGCUUUCUGCCCAAGCCGGUGUCAAGUAAUAUUACUCUGAGGUGGGGAAGAUGCCAAAAAGUAGACGACAGAGAAUAAGUCAAUGGGGCAAAGGGAUUGCAAAAGGAUUGCAAGGAAAUGAAUCAGAAAUACUGUGCAUUUUGGAGUCUACCAGAGACCAACAACAUUAAACGUAAAAUAGAUCAAAGAGUAAAGAAAAAACUCUAGAAGCUAUGAUGUGGUGUGUACUUUCUUAUGUAAAAUUCACUUAAUUCUCCUGGUAACGCUGUGAUAUAAGUAUUAUUAACCUUUCUAAAAGUGAGGAACCUGAAGUGAGGCGAGGCGGAGACGGAAGUCAAGUACGGCUCCUGUCGCCACACCUUUGCUGUGUCUUCUGCUGCUCUGCUCACUGUGGCUGUGACAGGCAAUGAGGAGCUCCAGUUCUGGAGUCAGUCCCAAAUCUUUGAUUUCCAAAUCAUGACACCCCUGCUUAUUAGCUCUAUAGUUUGAGCAACGUAGUCAACCUCUCUGCAGCCUGAUUUCUUUAUUUAUGAAAUGGAAGUGGUAAUGACACACAAAGAGUUGUUGUGAGGACUAAUGCGCUGAUGCAUACACCAGUG